rnacentral:rRNA from 1 species
UACGUAGGGGGCAAGCGUUGUCCGGAUUUAUUGGGCGUAAAGAGCGUGUAGGCGGCCAGACAGGUCCGUUGUGAAAACUCGAGGCUCAACCUCGAGAUGUCGAUGGAAACCGUCUGGCUAGAGUCCGGAAGAGGAGUGUGGAAUUCCUGGUGUAGCGGUGAAAUGCGCAGAUAUCAGGAAGAACACCUAUGGCGAAGGCAGCACUCUGGGACGGUACUGACGCUGAGGCGCGAAAGCGUGGGGAGCAACAGG